rnacentral:rRNA from 1 species
GAUGCGACCUCAGCUCAGGCGGGGCUACCCGCUGAGUUUAAGCAUAUCAAUAAGCGGAGGARAAGAGACUAWCAAGGAUUCCCCU